ACAAAUGGAUGACAUGGUCAAUGAAAAGGUAUACAGAGCAACCUUGCAUGAGCAGUAUGAGGGUUUACGGGAAGCCGAGCGCCAGUGUAGACUGACGAUUCAUCGACACCAUGCUACGUCAGAUUUGAUCUGUCCCCCCGUGUUUGAUAAUGUCAUGUGCUGGAAUGUGACCAGGGCUGGAACCAACGCCUCCCAGCCGUGCCCAGGCUACAUCGACAACUUCCGUAUCAACGGGUUGGCAAUACGAGGGUGUAUGGAGAACGGAAGUUGGUACGUGAAUCCGGAAACCAACAGUUCAUGGACAAACUUCACCGACUGUUUUCCGGACCAAAGCAAGCGCAACUCCGUUAAUGUAAAAUGAUUAGUCUAGACUUCAGUAAGAAAUAUCAUGCCAGAUCACUAAUGUGAACGUAUGCAAAAUAACUCUAUCUGUUUUGUGUUUCAGAAUCAACUAAACAUCAUACAGACGAUACAAGUGACAGGCUACACGAUAUCAAUAGUGUCCCUUGUACUGGCCCUGGUGAUCCUACUUCGUUAUAGAUACAGCCAGAGAUCCAGACGAACCUUAUCAAAAAUCACCAUUCUACACAUCAACCUUUUUAUUGCUUACAUCCUUCGAGCUUCCGUAUCACUUUUGAGGAACUACAUUUUUGGCAGGGCGUUUGUGCUCUCUCUGAACGGUCAUCUUGAGACAGAGACAGACUAUACGCAGUGGGUGUGCAAGCCAAUAACAACCUUGUUCGUCUAUGCUUUGGUAGCCAGCACUUUUUGGCUCAGUGUGGAGGCGUUUGUCCUGACCAAACUUAUCGUCGACUGGAAAUAUCUACAGAAGAGAAACAACGUCUUUGUUCAUAUUGUCAUAGGAUGGGGGGGUCCGCUGUUCAUUGUCGUGCCAUGGUUGGUUCUCCGGGUUGUAACAGAAGACGAUUGGUGCUGGAUUUCCUACACCUGUGAGUGGUCGAUGUGGGUUUUCGUCAGGGGACCUGUCUUUAUCAGCAUAUUUAUAAACAACAUUCUCUUCAUAAAAAUAGUGAGGUUUUUGUACAAGAGAUUAAAAGAGGUCAACAAGAGCUCUCACUUCAACAAAACCAUCAUCUUGAAGAUGGCUAGAACUGUGUGUAUACUCAUCCCACUGUUCGGCGUCCCCGAUAUCAUUUUUGUUUUGCUGUCAUUUUGGUUUGAUGUUGAAUACCUGUAUGCUGAAAUGUUUUUUAAUUCACUGCAGGGGUGUAUGUUAUCAUCAACAUUUUGUUUGACAGAAAAGAAGGUAGUCCAAGAGUUCUGGAAGUUUAUAUAUCGCUGUAAAAAGACAGAACAAAACAAAACUGGGUGUCGGCGGGCCUCGCAGCCAUCUUUGUCAGAGGAGACAACUGUUGCCUGAACAAAUUUUCACUGUAAUAAACCAGUGUACUUUAACAUUGCGUGUUGUUUAAUUAGAGUUCAUUGAGUUCAUAGAUGCUGAGAUAAAAAGUAAUAAAUUUGGGGAUUUGU
rnacentral:misc_RNA from 1 species